rnacentral:rRNA from 1 species
AGUGGCGACCGGGUGAGUAACACGUGACUAACCUACCUCCGAGUGGGGAAUAACUCCGGGAAACCGGGGCUAAUACCGCAUAACAUCGCGAGAUCAAAGCAGUAAUGCGCUUGGAGAGGGGGUCGCGGCUGAUUAGCUAGUUGGCGGGGUAACGGCCCACCAAGGCGAAGAUCGGUAUCCGGCCUGAGAGGGCGCACGGACACACUGGAACUGAAACACGGUCCAGACUCCUACGGGAGGCAGCAGUGGGGAAUUUUGCGCAAUGGGGGAAACCCUGACGCAGCAACGCCGCGUGGAGGAUGAAGCCCUUUGGGGCGUAAACUCCUUUCGACUCGGACGAUAAUGACGGUACGAGUGGAAGAAGCACCGGCUAACUCUGUGCCAGCAGCCGCGGUAAUACAGAGGGUGCAAGCGUUGUUCGGAAUUAUUGGGCGUAAAGGGCGCGUAGGCGGUGCGGUAAGUCACCUGUGAAAUCUCCCGGCUUAACUGGGAGCCUGCAGGCGA